AGUCUGGUGCCAGCAGCCGCGGUAAUUCCAGCUCCAAUAGCAUACUUUAAAGUUGCUGCAGUUAAAAAGCUCGUAGUUGAAUUUCUGACUUAACAUGCUUAGCCCUUCCGGGUCACCGGUGGAGUGCUGAGUCGUGUUUGUCAUCCUUCCAGAAAAUGUUGUUGCGCUUCACUGCGUUGACAACACUAUCUGGAUCUUUUACUUUGAAAAAAUUAGAGUGUUUAAAGCAGGCUUUUGCUAUGAAUACAUUAGCAUGGAAUAAUAAUUUAGGACUUCGGUUCUAUUUUGUUGGUUUCUAGGACUGAAGUAAUGAUUGAUAGGGACAGUUGGGGAUGCUGAAAUUCAUUGGCCAGAGGUGAAAUUCUUGGAUUCAAUGAAGUUCAACUCAUGCGAAAGCAUUCAUCAAGGAUGUCUUCUUCUAAUCAAGAACGAAAGUUGGGGGAUCGAAGACGAUCAGAUACCGUCGUAGUCUCAACUAUAAACUAUGCCGACUCGGGAUUGGUGAACGUUGCAUUUUCGACUUCAUCAGCACCGUAUGAGAAAUCAAAGUCUUUGGGUUCCGGGGGGAGUAUGAUCGCAAGGUUGAAACUUAAAGGAAUUGACGGAAGGGCACCACCAGGAGUGGAGCCUGCGGCUUAAUUUGACCCAACACGGGAAAACUUACCAGGUCCAGACAUAGUGAGGAUUGACAGAUUGAAGAUCUUUCUUGAUUCUAUGGGUGGUGGUGCAUGGCCGUUCUUAGUUGGUGGAGCGAUUUGUCCGGUUAAUUCCGUUAACGAACGAGACCUCGACCUGCUAAAUAGUUCGGCGAAGGCGUCAGCCUUUGUACGUGACUUCUUAGAGGGACUAUCGGUGCUUUAGCCGAAGGAAGUUCGAGGCAAUAACAGGUCUGUGAUGCCCUUAGAUGUUCUGGGCUGCACGCGCGCUACACUGAUGGUUGCAUCGAGCUUACAACCUUGAUCGGAAGGUCUGGGUAAUCUUUUUAACGUCCAUCGUGCUGGGGAUAGAUUAUUGUAAUUAUUAAUCUUCAACGAGGAAUUCCCAGUAAACGCAAGUCAUCAACUUGCAUUGAUUACGUCCCUGCCCUUUGUACACACCGCCCGUCGCUACUACCGAUUGAAUGGAUUAAUGAGCUGCAGGGAUUGACGCGCUUGUGGGCAACUGCUUGCGUGUCGAGAACUGCAACAAAUUUGUUCAUUUAGAGGAAGUAAAAGUCGUAACAAGGUUUCCGUUGGUGAACCAGCGGAAG
rnacentral:rRNA from 1 species